rnacentral:rRNA from 1 species
AACGAACGCUGGCGGCAUGCCUAACACAUGCAAGUCGAACGAGACCUUCGGGUCUAGUGGCGCACGGGUGCGUAACGCGUGGGAACCUGCCCUUAGGUUCGGAAUAACUCCCCGAAAGGGGUGCUAAUACCGGCUAAUGUCUUCGGACCAAAGAUUUAUCGCCUUUGGAUGGGCCCGCGUUGGAUUAGCUAGUUGGUAGGGUAAAAGCCUACCAAGGCGACGAUCCAUAGCUGGUCUGAGAGGAUGAUCAGCCACACUGGGACUGAGACACGGCCCAGACUCCUACGGGAGGCAGCAGUGGGGAAUAUUGGACAAUGGGCGAAAGCCUGAUCCAGCAAUGCCGCGUGAGUGAUGAAGGCCUUAGGGUUGUAAAGCUCGUUUACCCGGGAUGAUAAUGACAGUACCGGGAGAAUAAGCUCCGGCUAACUCCGUG